rnacentral:rRNA from 1 species
GAUGAACGCUGGCGGCGUGCUUAACACAUGCAAGUCGAACGAAGCAUUUGCGACAGAUUUUUUCGGAAUGAAGUUGCUUAUGACUGAGUGGCGGACGGGUGAGUAACGCGUGGGUAACCUGCCUUGUACUGGGGGAUAGCAGCUGGAAACGGCUGGUAAUACCGCAUAGGCGCACAAUGUUUCAUGACAUGGUGUGAAAAACUCCGGUGGUAUAAGAUGGACCCGCGUCUGAUUAGCUAGUUGGUGAGAUAACAGCCCACCAAGGCGACGAUCAGUAGCCGACCUGAGAGGGUGACCAGCCACAUUGAGACUGAGACACGGCCCAGACUCCUACGGGAGGCAGCAGUGGGGAAUAUUGCACAAUGGAGGAAACUCUGAUGCAGCGACGCCGCGUGAGUGAAGAAGUAAUUCGUUAUGUAAAGCUCUAUCAGCAGGGAAGAUAGUGACGGUACCUGACUAAGAAGCGCCGGCUAAAUACGUG